UACGUAGGGGGCAAGCGUUGUCCGGAUUUAUUGGGCGUAAAGAGCGUGUAGGCGGCCAUUCAGGUCAGCUGUGAAAACUCGAGGCUCAACCUCGAGACGUCGGUUGAAACCGUUUGGCUAGAGUCCGGAAGAGGAGAGUGGAAUUCCCGGUGUAGCGGUGAAAUGCGCAGAUAUCGGGAAGAACACCCGUGGCGAAGGCGGCUCUCUGGGCAUGUCCUGACGCUGAGGAGCGAAAGUGUGGGGAGCGAACAGG
rnacentral:rRNA from 1 species